UUGUUGUUUUUCUUGUUGAAAUUUUUGUUCUCGUGUAAUUUUUUGCUCCAAACUUGUACAAAUUGUUGUAAAAAACUUGUGAAAAAAGGGACUGGGGCGGUUUGUACUGAAGAUGGUAAACCAUUCAUCGUCUUAUCUGUGUUUCAACAUCAGCCUCGAGGACUUAGAGAAAAUCUUAAUGAAAUUUGUAGGGUUGCAUUAAAGGCGGUGAAUGGUUUAUUGCCUUAGUGAAGGCAGUGAACUAUUCACUGCGUUCAUUUUAUAUAUUACAAAGACAGGUUCACCAUCUUCAGAGGGAAUUUUCGAGCAUGUGCCUACAUGGCGAAAAGACGUUACUUUUGCAAAAAGAAGGAUUAUUUUGGAAGGUUAUUUCGUAAAUUUUAAAAUUAAAGAGGAUUAUUUUGUAAAAAAGUCUCGAAAAAAAUAUUCAUAGUUAUCUAAAUUUUUACCAAUCGGAGAAUAUCUACUAUAGAAUAUUCUUCACGUGCAUCUCAAACUAGAAGUAUCAAAAUUAAUUCACAUUUAAUUCAAAUUUUAAAAUUUAAU
rnacentral:lncRNA from 1 species